rnacentral:lncRNA from 1 species
ACUGCAAACCAAACCAGGUCACAGCUUUCAAAGGAUGAUCAGAUGAACCUCCCCCACAGGCUAAAGGACUAGGUACACAGCAGGACUCGUGCUGGGAAUGUCAUUACACUAACUGUAAUCCAGAGCACAGAAUGAAGUACUCAGGCUUCCUACACUAUGCAUGGAAACAGUAAGGACUUCAAAAUUAGGGGAUUGAGCUAUAUGAUAAUACACACUCAUGGCACACCUCACCAGCUGGGAAGGACAACUGACAAAGGUUAGCCCAUAACUAAAGAAAGAGAAGCUCACAAACGAGUAAGAUGUAUGAACAAUCAUCUAAGACAAACAAGAAACUAGAACGUCCUGGGGUGUGAGAGGAAGGGCACCCCCUUGCGUGACUGGAAAAGGUGGCUCCAACCCUCUUCAGUAAAUGUGAAUCAAGCUGAGUCUCCCACAUGCU